rnacentral:rRNA from 1 species
AGUGAACGCUGGCGGUAGGCCUAACACAUGCAAGUCGAACGGCAGCACAGUAAGAGCUUGCUCUUACGGGUGGCGAGUGGCGGACGGGUGAGGAAUACAUCGGAAUCUACUUUUUCGUGGGGGAUAACGUAGGGAAACUUACGCUAAUACCGCAUACGACCUACGGGUGAAAGCAGGGGAUCUUCGGACCUUGCGCGAUUGAAUGAGCCGAUGUCGGAUUAGCUAGUUGGCGGGGUAAAGGCCCACCAAGGCGACGAUCCGUAGCUGGUCUGAGAGGAUGAUCAGCCACACUGGAACUGAGACACGGUCCAGACUCCUACGGGAGGCAGCAGUAGGGAAUAUUGGACAAUGGGCGCAAGCCUGAUCCAGCCAUACCGCGUGGGUGAAGAAGGCCUUCGGGUUGUAAAGCCCUUUUGUUGGGAAAGAAAAGCAGCAGGUUAAACCCCCGCUGUUCUGACGGUACCCAAAGAAUAAGCACCGGCUAACUUCGUG